rnacentral:rRNA from 1 species
UACGUAGGGUGCAAGCGUUGUCCGGAAUUAUUGGGCGUAAAGAGCUCGUAGGCGGUUUGUUGCGUCGGCUGUGAAAUCCCGAGGCUCAACCUCGGGUCUGCAGUCGAUACGAGCAAACUAGAGUGUUGCAGGGGAGACUGGAAUUCCUGGUGUAGCGGUGAAAUGCGUAGAGAUCGGGAGGAACACCCGUGGCGAAGGCGGCCACCUGGGCCGACCCUGACGCUGAGGCGCGAAGGCGUGGGGAGCGAACGGG